CCUACGGGAGGCAGCAGUGGGGAAUAUUGCACAAUGGGGGAAACCCUGAUGCAGCGACGCCGCGUGAGUGAAGAAGUACUUCGUUAUGUAAAGCUCUAUCAGCAGGGAAGAAAAUGACGGUACCUGAGUAAGAAGCCCCGGCUAACUACGUGCCAGCAGCCGCGGUAAUACGUAGGGGGCAAGCGUUAUCCGGAUUUACUGGGUGUAAAGGGAGCGUAGACGGCAGUGCAAGUCUGGAGGUAAAGGCGGGGGCUUAAACCCCGGCCGGCUCUGGAAACUGUACGGCUGGAGUGCAGGAGAGGUAUGCGGAAUGCGUGGUGUAGCGGUGAAAUGCAUAGAUAUCGCGCAGAACUCCGAUUGCGAAGGCAGCGUACCGGCGCCAAACUGACGCUGAGGCACGAAAGCGUGGGUAUCGAACAGGAUUAGAUACCCCGGUAGUC
rnacentral:rRNA from 1 species